GCACACACUGAUUUAGCUCCAAGGUUUGGGGACAUUUAGGUUUCAAAAGCAUAUAAAUGUUAUUCCUGCGAGAAAAAGAAAUGUUAGUUAUAAUUCAUUAAUUGAAAAUUCAAUCACAGUGUCAUUGAUAGGCAAUGCACGGACAUGGUCCUUGUCCUGGUUAAAAUUUCUUAUUUCUCUGGAUUUGAACAUUCAUGGAAACAUCUGGGAUAAUGAGAAGCAAGCUGGGGGAAUUACUCCAGGAGAAACUACUGAAAAAUUAUUGUAAAUAUGGAUUUUAAUGAACCCUGCAGAACGAGAGAUGAAGAUACAGAGGAACAAACAGAUUCAAUGGAAGUGACUGAAGACAAACAACAUCAAUUUCAAAAGAAGAUGGGAAAUGAAGAUGGAAACACAGUCGUUUCACAGACUGAAAAGAAUUUCACCCAAAAACGAGCAGGAAAAACUGGAGUCAAAGGAUCUUUCACCUGCUCUGAGUGUGGAAGGAGUUUCACACAGAAAGGACACCUUAACAUACACAUGAGAAUUCACACAGGAGAAAAACCCUUCACAUGCACUCAGUGUGGAAAGAGUUUCAUACGUAAAGGACACCUAAAUGUGCACAUGAGAAUUCACACUGGAGAAAAACCGUUCACAUGCACUCAGUGUGGAAAGAGUUUCAAGCACAAAAGCUCUCUCAAAGAUCAUCUGCGUUCUCACUCUGGAGUGAAGUCUUUCAGCUGUGAUCAGUGUGAUAAAACAUUUGUUGGUGCAUCAAGCUUAAGACAACAUCUUAAAGUUCAUACUUGUGUGAAGCCUCACGUUUGUUCAUUUUGUGGAAAGAGUUUUUCACAACUGCAAAAUUUAAAAGUGCAUGAGAGUAUUCAUACUGGUGUGAGACCUUAUAUGUGCUUUGACUGUGGGAAGACCUUCAUUAUAUCCAAUGACUUAAAAAAACACCAGAGAAUUCAUACUGGAGAGAAACCAUACAAGUGCUCGCACUGUGAAGAGAGUUUCGCUCGGUUAGAAUUCUUGAAAACACACCAGAGAGUUCAUACUGGAGAGAAGCCGCACCAGUGCUCUUUAUGUGGGAAGAGUUUUACCCAAUUAUCUAGUCUACGGACUCAUGAGAAAAAGCAUUGCCCUUUCCUUACGAAAAAGAAGUUUAUUCAAGUGUGCUAUUAGUAUACUUCUUUUAAACUAAAAAUAGGAAAGUAUACUUUCAGUCUAUUUUUUAAAUACUUCUCAGAAAUAUACUUUAUGUACUUUUCAGAAAUAUACUUAAAAUUGCACUCAAGUAUACUUGACUUAUACUGACAGAAAAGUCUAAGUAUAUUUGGCCUAUACUUGUACUCAAUCUUUUGAUCAAGAUAUACUUAAAAGUAUAAUUAAGUAUUCCAAGUAUACUUGGCUUGUAGUUGUGUUUAAUCUUUUGAUUGAGUAGCCUAUUUAAAUAUAUUUUUUAGGUAUAUUUAAAACUUACAUUGUUUGAAAAUAUCGAUUUAUCCACCUUUUUCCUACGCCCCAUGACGCUUUGCGCGAAUUAUGGGUGUAACUUCCGUUAAGCUGUAAACAGUCAGUGAAAGGUUCGCUCUAACAGCAAUAACGGACAGGUUAAAUAUAACUGUAAUAUAUAUCUGUAUUGUUGCCUUAAUAAAAAUGUUCAUGAACUUCAGCAUUGCGUGAUACUAUUUUAAAGUGAUUUCCAUCAUUUUUACAGAUAAUAAAUUGUAUUUACCUGUGAAAGCAAACCUGGAAAGAGACUUGAGGAUUUGAGCAGAAAAACGAGAGAUUAUUUGCGCAUUCUAGUGAAUUAUUAAUGGUAUAUAUCGUAAAUUAUCAGGAGAACAGACCACAAAUGUGCAGUAUAUAUUGUCCUUUUUCAUACUAUUACAGCAGAAUGCAAAGUGACAAAAGAAAAUAAUCAUGAAGAAAAGAAUGCUGCGACUGUAAAGAGCUCUUGCCAUAGAUAUUCUUGCAAUAGAUAUACAUGUCAUAGUAUGAUACCGUGAGUAUCAUCAUG